GACGAACGCUGGCGGCGUGCUUAACACAUGCAAGUCGAACGGAAAGGCCCUGCUUUUGUGGGUUGCUCGAGUGGCGAACGGGUGAGUAACACGUGAGUAACCUGCCCUUUACUUUGGGAUAACUUCAGGAAACUGGGGCUAAUACCGGAUAGGAGCUCCUGCUGCAUGGUGGGGGUUGGAAAGUUUCGGCGGUUGGGGAUGGACUCGCGGCUUAUCAGCUUGUUGGUGGGGUAGUGGCUUACCAAGGCUUUGACGGGUAGCCGGCCUGAGAGGGUGACCGGCAACAUGGGGACUGAGAUACGGCCCGGACUCGUGAGGGAGGCAGCAGUGGGGAAUAUUGCACAAUGGGCGGAAGCCUGAUGCAGCAACGCCGCGUGCGGGAUGACGGACUGCGGGUUGUAAACCGCUUUCGCCUGUGACGAAGCGUGAGUGAAGGUAAUAGGUAAAGAAGCACCGGCUAACUACGUG
rnacentral:rRNA from 1 species